UGGGACACAAUGUCUCUUGUGUUCCUGUCUUUCCUUCUUAUUUUGCUGCUUGGGAUUGUGUUAUGCAUCGCUUUCAGGUGGUUGGUCUGUACCUUGGUGGUGCGGCUCUUCCAGACUGCACUGAAUGCAGACCUUAAGAUCAAAUCAGUUGGACUGUUCUCAGUCCAGGGAGUUAGUAUCCAGUUUUACCCCCAACACACACUGGAAAUUGACCGAAUAUGGAUUUCAAGUAAACUUCUCAACCA